AUAUACAUAUAUAUGCAAAGAAACAGUAGAGAGGGAGAAGAACAGGGGUUAACGUAAAGAACUCGUGUCGUCCGUUCGUGAUACCUCGAUCGCGGUGGGUGUCGCGAAUGACUGUGUUCAAGAAGUGUGCGAGAGUCACUACGCGUUGGGUGCCCUACCACAUGCCACUACCACUAUCAUGAUUUCCACUACCAUCGCAUUCGGCUGCCAGCACUACCACUAUGGAACCAGUACGCACCACUAAACACGGCGAAUAUAUAUCGGUAUCAAAUACGACGAACAUGGGUACCAAUGUGACACGUCAGACUUUGUAAGAAACGGAAUAUUACGACGUAAUUCUAUGCAGCUUUUUUACAUCAAUGAUGUAACGUGAUGGAACGAUGGAAAUGGAAAUGUCGCGAUCGUUUUACGAAAUCAUUAAGCGACAAAGAGGAAUUCCCGGAUACAUAGAAGAUAAAUAUCCAUGGAAAUACAUCAAUGAGCAGAAUAUUAUACAUAUACAACGAAUGGAUUUGACUUCGUUGAUUCACGAUAUGUGUCGAAAUGACGUUAGUUAGUAGACGUUAAAUGUGUCUAUAUAAUAAAUGGAUACAAAUUCACCCGUCGCCUAUCGCAUACGUAAAAACAUACAAAUCAGACAUUAAUGCUCCUUCCGUAACGAAAUUUCAAUCGAGACAGACGAUUCAACGCUGCUCCCCCGAAUCUCACUUCGGAUCUAAAAAUAGAACGGCGAAGGGUGUUCUCGAAAGGAAUACGAUUUCUUUUCCUUCUUUUAUUCGGCAGUUCGAACACCAAAGAUCGACUGGAUACAGAUUCGAAACCACGGCAAGAGAGAAAAAAAGAGGAAAAAAAAGUAGAAAAGGGAGAAGAAAGAUUCACGGGAGGAGAUGUAUCUCCUCCUCACCGGUCUCUUCUAUUCCAUUGGCGGGACUGGCAGCGGCAAACUCGUUACGAAAUAGUCCCUAAGACGGGGUGACUAAUUGCUAAGCGGCUUGUAAAAAUUCGCAGGACAGUCUGUCGACAUCGUGGCGCGGCCGUCUCAUCGUCGCGCCGUUAUACUUUUUGCCCAUGCACGGUUGACUAGAGAAGAGAAUGACCUAGAGGAAGAGAGAUCGAGUGACAGGGGAAAGUGGUAGGAGUGACAAGGAUAGGAGAGGGCUGCGGUGACGAUGGGGCGCGAACGGGGUGUGGUGGGGGUGGUGCAACGACGGAUGCGCGAGGAGAGGGAAAGGGAACAGGCGAGAGAAGCAUGUGCGUGUGAGGCCUUAAGGUGAGAAAAGAAAAAUGGCGAAGAGAGGCCGAGGCUGCGUCUCGCGUUCGAAGGCGAGAGGGGACGACGCUUUCGCAGAUUCCACGUGAGAUACCUGCGGCAUUCUUCGUUCUGCAGCAGGGCAUUAAGCCGGAUGCACAUUCGUCGUGGACGACGCUCAGUGAAUUCAUUUCCAAGAAAAAUAUCUUCCGCCACGAAACGAAUUUUACGGCAGAUUGUGUUCGCGAACAGACCGCCUCAGAGAACUCUCACUCCUCUCCGCUCCUCUCCUUCCUUGAUGUGUGAACAGAGGACACAGAGAUGCGUGUGAUGUUUUUAUUAUUAUUAUUUUUCUUUUCUUCUCCCGUAGACUGUUUCGGAACUGAAAGUUCCAGCUAUAAAGCGUCUAAUCCGACGAUAAACCGCGUGGUGAUUCUUUUCCGUGACGUUUACACGUCUCUGACACGUUUCGAGUCGCUGAUGCGCACCGAAUCGAAAAUAAUCUUGUGCGCAUACACGUCUUAUAUUUGAUUGGUAGCCUCAAGCGACAGUUAUGACAGUAAAAGUUCUUACGAAUCGUCUAGUUUAUCUAUUACAAUUUAUGAAAGAAAUAUAAUUGUUCCAAUUGAUUGAAUGAUAAAAUAGAAAAAUGAAUAUU
rnacentral:lncRNA from 1 species